rnacentral:rRNA from 1 species
GAAGGUGGGCUUAGAAGCAGCCAUCCUUGAAAGAGUUCGUAACAGAUCACUGGUCAAGCUUGCGGGCCCGGAAAAUGGACGGGGCUCAAACUGGUCACCGAUACACUGAUCCUUCGAAAGAAGAUGAGGUAGCGCGGCGAUGUGCUCGGGUAGAAGCGAGGUCGUAAGGUCUCGUGGACCGUGUACAUAUGAGAAUCUAGGGAAGAGUAGCAGCAUAGUAUGGUGAGAAUCCAUACCACCGAAAGGGUAAGGGUUCCUCGGCAAUGAUUUUCAGCCGAGGGUUAGCCGGUCCUAAGGUCAAUCUUAACCGACUUGAUCGAAAGGGAAUUGCGUUAAUAUUCGUAAGCCUCUUUGGCAAUAUAUGGUAACGGCUAGGGCUAGUUCGUGCACUUCUGUCAUGGAGUGUCGAAGCGUUCUAUAAUCGAUCGGAGAACCGUCACGGUGAGAAGAUCGAGAAGACGUGAGCGAAAGACGGAUGAGGCCUUGGUCCCAUGAAAAACCGCCAGAGAUGACCGUACCGAGAACUGACACAGGUACCCAAGGUGAGUAGCCUAAGGUGUGACGGGUAAAGUACCGCGAAGGAACUCGGCAAAAUCGCCCCGUAACUUCGGGAGAAGGGGUGCCAGCUCUGAGGAGAGCUGGUCGCAGUGACUAGAGGACUCCGACUGUUUAAUAAAAACAUAGCCGACUGCUAGUUCGAAAGGAUGUGUAUAGUCGGUGAAUCCUGCUCAGUGCCGGUAUCUGAAAUCGGGUUUCAACCUGAUGAAGGACCGGUAAACAGCGGGGGUAACUAUGACCCUCUUAAGGUAGCGUAAUACCUUGUCGCUUAAUUGGCGACUUGCAUGAAUGGCCCAACGAGAGUCCUACUGUCUCCGCGGUACGUCCGGCGAAAUUGACAUUACUGGCGCACAGUCCAGUACCUUCAACCUGCAAGCGAAGACCCCGUAGAGCUUUACUGCAGCCUGGCGUUGUACAAUCGCACUUCACGUGCUGAGUAGACGGGAGAUUUUGAUCCACGGGACGCCAGUCCCGUGAGUAGUCACACAUAGAGACACCGUCCUUGGAGUGUAAUUGUACUCACUCUUCAUGAGAACACCGCUUGGUGGGCAGUUUGGGUGGGGCGCCACGCGCUCGAAAAGAUAACAAGCGUGCCCAAAGGUCAGCUUAGGUGGUUCAGUCUCCACCGUUAACCGUAAGGGGAAAAGCUGGCUUGACGUGGAUCGGACCAAUAACGAUCGACGAUGCGAAAGCAGGGCCUAACGAACCAAUCUACCUCAUUUCUGGGGGUGAUUGAUAACAGAAAAGUUACCUUGGGGAUAAUUGAGUUGUCACCAGCAAGAGCACAUAUCGACCUGGUGGCUUGCUACUUCGAUGUCGUCUCUUCCCAACCUCCUGGUGCAGCAGCUGGGAAGGGUGGGGUUGUUCGCCCAUUAAAGGGGAUCGUGAGAUGGGUUUAGACCGUCGUGAGACAGGUUUGUUGCUUUGUGGUUGAAGCGUGUAAGAUGCCUGAUCGGAAGGGCCCUUUAGUACGAGAGGAACGAGGGCUCGGAGCCACUAGUUUACCAGUUGUCUGGCAAGGCAAUGCUGGGUAGCCACGCUCCAGUGGAUAAGAGCUGAAAGCAUCUAAGCUCGAAGUCAUCCGAAAGACGAGGCAUCUCAGGGGACUC